UAUAUAUAUAUAAGUGCCAAAUCCCUUUCUCCCUCCCUCCCUACCCGAUCCUCAUACUUUCCUUUCUCCCUCUCUCUCUCGCAUGCUCUCUGCUAGGCCCGAACGACGACGGCAGGGGCUCGGCGAAUGGCGGUAGACGGCGGCAGGGGGCUCGGGGCUGGGCUCGACAGCAACGACUGGUGGCUCGGGGCUGGGCUCGCAGCAACGACUGGUGCCUCGGGGCUGGGCUCGACAGCAACGACAGGUGGCUCGGGGGGUGGGCUCGUCGGCGGGUGGGGGGGUCUUGGGUCUGGGCUCGACAUCGCAGGGGCUAGGCAGAGGGCUGUUUGGCUUCGGGACUUUGAGAGACACGAGAACUAUGGCCAUGGCUGAAUCUAACGAUUUCGUUUCGGUUGAUAUGGAGAGGAUCUAUCUCGGUGGAAAGGUUGUGGUAACCAUUUGGUAUCGUGCACCAGAGCUGCUCCUUGGGGCAAAACAUUAUACAAGUACUGUUGAUAUUGGGCUGUUGGAUGCAUUUUUGCCGAGCUUUUGACUUUGAAGCCACUGUUUCAAGGAGCUGAAGUCAAAGCUACCCCAAAUCCAUUUCAGGUCCUUCUUUCGCCCAUUGUCCUUGACCGGCUUUGACUUUUUAAUAAAGUGAUUCCCUUGUGAGAUUGUUAUAAACCUUUUUGCUUUCAUUUAGUUCUCUCAUGCUUCUUUUAUUUUAUUUUUUCAACUUGACAAGAUAUUCAAGGUCUUAGGUACUUAUUUCAUUCUACUAUAAAACUCUCUUAUUUCUUUUCUUUAUGUUUGGGAUCAUUAUUGUUCAUUGUUAUUUCAUCAGGUCAUCCCACUAUAGAAAAGUGGCCAACACUUGCAAAUCUUCCGCAUUGGCAAAAUGAUUUACAGUAUAUUCAAGGCCACAAGUAGUAUGCUCUUGAUACAUAUAAUAUUUUCAACAGACUGUUUAUAGUGGUCACUGUAACAGAUUAAUUUAUUUCACUCUCAAUUGUGAUCUUCCUUCCCUUCCUUUUCCUUUUUUUUGCCGUGUUUUGAUAUUAUUUAUGUUUUAUUUUUCUUUCUUGUGUAUGCUUUUUAAAGUGACAAUCACAGGCUUCAGGGUUUUGUAAACAUCUCUUCAAAAAGUCCUGCAUUUGACCUCUUAUCUAAGAUACUUGAGUAUGUGUACCCCUUUAUAUUGCAUGAACUACAUUUUAUAUUUGUAUGUUAGUGAUGAUGUAGAUUGUAAUUUUUCAUGGAUUUAUAAACUUUGUAUAUUAGAGAGAAUCGUGGACUUCAUUUGUAUAUAUAUUCUUAUAUUUGUUUAUUCAUGUUGUAUGAGGCAUAAUACUCUUAUUUACCAAAGGAGAGAUACAAAUUCAACUUAACAAGAUGCUCUCUACACUAAAUAUGCAUAACCAAAAUCUAGAGCUAGUCAAAUUUAUUAUUUAGUAAUAAAUUCUACAAGGAGAGAAAAAAAAAAUCCUUGAAGAGAAACCCACAUUCAUUCUUUUCUAUGCAAGCUCAUUGGCAUGAGAACUGUUUUAAAAAAUCAUUUUAUUUCCUAUGUAUGAAGCUUCCACACUAAGUAGCGACAGACACUUGGUUUUUUAUUCCGGUAAAAAUCAAUUUAAACAAACCUAUCAUUUUCUUAGAAAUCAUAUUUACCAAACUAUCCAUGUAAGAGUUUAAACCAUAACAUUUUACUCCAACAUAAACCCUAAAAACACUUCUUCCUUCCUCAUCUUAGCCGCCACACUCUUCUCUCUGUUUGACCCCCUCCUUUUUGAAGCUCUAACUGCCACACUUAUCAACCAUGACACUCUUCUUCCAUUGACUUUUGAAGCUUUGCCGCAAGCUUCAUAGACCAAACUACCCCAUUGUUCUCCUCACCCAAACUGCUUCUCUCUUGGUCAUUUUGGGUCUCUCUUGGUUGAUUUGAGUCUUGAACGUUUCAAAGAACAACACAUUGUUGAAUGAUUUUACUGCUAUUUUUAGAGGUAAAUCUUUAAAUAAUCUAUGCUUUUUGUUCAAGUUUUCACAGUGUGUAACAGUCUUACAUAUCUAUUAAAACAAUAUAAUUAAUGUUUCUGUUAACUAUAUCCAGCAACUCAAAUUUGGGUUCAUAGGCAGGCUUCUGAUAAUUUGGUGUGCAAGAAAUUUGGUGUUGAUUUAUUUCUCUUCUUGUUUGGCAUGGUUUUAGGGAACCAGACAGAGUGGUCAAGGAGUCAAAGCUAAUUUGGUUAUUGACAAAUUUAAAUUAUAAGCUAGGUAGUUGACAGAAUGGAACAUUUGGUUUUGGAGCAAGAAAAGCAAUAUCCAUCUAGAGUAAGAUGACAACUUUCAAAUGCACAUUGCAGGUAAGGGAAAAGGAAAGCUGGACCAGCCAUGAGUUGGAGAGCGUUAGUGGCGGCGUGGACAUAUGUGGCAGCUCAACCACCACGGGCGAGGAUAUCUCAGUGGAACUAGGGUUGUAUCCCUUAUUUUUCUGUUUAGGUCGGCUU